rnacentral:rRNA from 2 species
UCAAGCUAGAAAGAGCGCAAGGGGAAUGCCUUGGCAUCAGGAGCCGAUGAAGGACGCGACAAGCUGCGAUAAGCUUCGGGUAGCUGCAAAUAAGCGAUGAUCCGGAGAUUUCCGAAUGGGGCAACCCGGCACGGCAAUACCGUGUCAGCGUGCACUGAACAAAAUAGGUGCACGUGGGGAACCGCCUGAACUGAAACAUCUAAGUAGGGCGAGGAAAAGACAUCAACCGAGAUUCCGCAAGUAGUGGCGAGCGAACGCGGAGAAGGCCAAACCAGAGGUCAUUGAUCUCUGGGGUAUGGACUUGCAUCAUGAUCAGAGGUAUCUAGUCGAAUGGCGUGGGAAAGCCAACCACAGAGGGUGAGAGUCCCGUAGACGAAAGAGAAGACUGACAGCGAGUAUCCAGAGUACCGCCGGACACGUGAAACCCGGUGGGAACAUGGGAGGACCACCUUCCAAGCCUAAAUACUACCUGAUGACCGAUAGUGGAGCAGUACCGUGAGGGAAAGGUGAAAAGAACCCCGGGAGGGGAGUGAAAUAGUACCUGAAACCGUAUGUCUACAAGCAGUCGAAGCGAAAGCGACGGCGUGCCUAUUGAAGAAUGAACCAACGAGUUAUCUGCACUAGCGAGGUUAAGUGGAAGACACGGAGCCGCAGCGAAAGCGAGUCUUAAGAGGGCGCUAGUUAGUGUAGGUAGACCCGAAACCGCAGUGAUCUACCCAUGUCCAGGUUGAAGCGCAGGUAAAAUUGCGUGGAGGACCGAACCGGUGAGCGUUGAAAAGCUUUCGGAUGAGAUGUGGGUAGGGGUGAAAUUCCAAUCGAACGCGGAGAUAGCUGGUUCUCCCCGAAAUAGCUUUAGGGCUAGCCUGAGGUAGUAAGUAUAGGCGGUAGAGCACUGAUCGGGCUAGGGGCCGUAAAGGUUACCGAACCCUGUCAAACUCCGAAUGGAUAUACUGUAGAGCCUUGGAGUCAGACUACGAGUGAUAAGAUCCGUGGUCAAAAGGGAAACAGCCCAGACCACCAGCUAAGGUCCCCAAUGUCGUACUAAGUGGAAAAGGAUGUGGGGUUUCAUAAACAACCAGGAUGUUGGCUCAGAAGCAGCCACCAUUUAAAGAGUGCGUAAUAGCUCACUGGUCGAGAGACCCUGCGCCGAAGAUUCCCGGGGCUAAAGUACGAAACCGAAGCUGUGGCUGUAUACGUAAAGUAUACGGGGUAGGGGAGCGUUCCCAUAGGGUAGAAGUCGAACUGGAAGGUUCGGUGGACUUGUGGGAAGUGAGAAUGUUGGUAUGAGUAGCGAAAAGAAAGGUGAGAAUCCUUUCCACCGAAAGCAUAAGGAUUCCUGAGCAACGAUCGUCGUCUCAGGGUAAGUCGGGACCUAAUCCGAGGCAGAGAGCGUAGGAGAUGGACAACUGGUUGAUAUUCCAGUACCGGUAGUAAUUGUUUGAGCAAUGGAGUGACACAGAAGGGCAGGCAAGCAUGCGAAUGGAAGAGCAUGUGUAAGCGUGUAGGGUGGUGCAUAGGCAAAUCCGUGCACUGAAAGCCUGAGGCGUGAUGCGGAGUGAGCAGAGAUGCGAGCGAAGUUGUUGACCCCACACUGUCGAGAAAAGCUUCUAGUGAGAGAGCUACCGCCCGUACCGUAAACCGACACAGGUAUGCGGGGAGAGAAUCCUAAGGUGCGCGGGAGAACCCUCGUUAAGGAACUCGGCAAAAUGUACCCGUAACUUCGGGAUAAGGGUAGCCACUGUUGUGAAGUCCCAUGCGGAUGGAGCAUAGAGUGGUCGCAGAGAAGAGGCCCAAGCGACUGUUUACCAUAAACACAGGUGCCUGCUAAAGCGAAAGCUGACGUAUAGGUGCUGACACCUGCCCAGUGCCGGAAGGUUAAGGAAGGAUGUUCGGAUUAGUCCAAAGCAUUCGACUGAAGCCCCGGUGAACGGCGGCCGUAACUAUAACGGUCCUAAGGUAGCGAAAUUCCUUGUCGGGUAAG